UAGCUUCCAAAACUCCUUUAUUUUUCAUAAAACUCAAAAUAUAACAAAAUCCCUUCAAAAAAUAUUUUUCUCGCAAAGAAUCUUCUCUUUUCAAACUUUAGAAAUUCAUAACUCUUGAUCUAAGUGUUCAAUAUGUCUCAAAUUUAUAGGAUAGAGAGGAAUCACCCUUAAUUUUGAUCAAAAAAACAACCAAUUGUAAAUUCACUUUCGAUCUUUUGGCAUCUAAGAAAACCUGGCAGAUGCUCUAAACCCUAAUUUACAAG
rnacentral:lncRNA from 1 species